rnacentral:rRNA from 1 species
AUGAGUUUUGGUGUGAAAUUUCUGAUUUUUUUGUCUAUAUUGAAUAGGAUCGAUGCAAUGUCUGUGCAUGAUUCUAAUCAAUCCAGUGUGACAAACCUAACCACAGGGAUGGUCUCGUGCAAUGAAGUAGAAACCGUUGGUACCAUUGUCGAUUGGUCGAGUCUUGUGAUCGAACCUGAAAAUGAUGGGGAUGAAAAGCCGGCGGACGAGAAAGCCAUGUUUGCUCUGUUGGGUUUGAAAACAGAGGAGGGCGAGGGAAAAACUAACCUUGGUCCUGUUGUCACUCCUACUCUUGAUUAUAACUUGGAUGAUGUCAAUGGGGCAGCUAUUGCUGUUAAUGAUAAUGCUCCAGAGGAGCCACUUAUUGCGUGGGAUGAACGAAAACCAAAGAUGGAUAUAGGGACCCCUUAUCCUGAUAUGGCUGCGUUUAGAAAGGCCAUAAAACAAUUCGCUAUCAAUGGAGAGUUCGAAUAUGGCACUAAAAAAAUGAGCCGGCAAGGUUUCAGGCUUUUUGUAAAGGUCAAUCCAUGA